rnacentral:rRNA from 1 species
GAUGAACGCUGGCGGCGUGCCUAACACAUGCAAGUCGAACGGAGUCAUUUUGGAAAGUUCUUCGGAACUGGAAUCUAUGACUUAGUGGCGGACGGGUGAGUAACGCGUGAGCAAUCUGCCUUUCAGAGGGGGAUAACAGCCGGAAACGGCUGCUAAUACCGCAUAAGCCCACGGAACCGCAUGGUUCUGGGGGAAAAGGAGCAAUUCGCUCUGGGAUGGACUCGCGUCCGAUUAGCUGGAUGGUGAGGUAACGGCCCACCAUGGCGACGAUCGGUAGCCGGACUGAGAGGUUGAACGGCCACAUUGGGACUGAGAUACGGCCCAG